UAGAAACACCGGUUCUUGUACAAUCACAGAAGUUAAGGAAUGUCGAGCCUAGUCAAUACCUAGAUGGGUGACCACUUGGGAAUACCAGGUGCUGUAA